rnacentral:rRNA from 1 species
UCGACUGGAAUUCACCUUCGGGUGAUAGUACGGUGGCGGACGGGUGAGUAACGCGUAAAGAACUUGCCCUCUAGACUGGGACAACUGUUGGAAACGACAGCUACCGGAUAUUAUGAGAGCCUCGCAUGGGGAACUCAUGAAAGCUAUAUGCGCUAGAGGAGAGCUUUGCGUGCCAUUAGCUAGGUGGUGGGGUAACGGCCCACCAAGGCGACGAUGGCUAGCCGGCCUGAGAGGGUGAUCGGCCACAAGGGGACUGAGACGCGGCCCUUACUCCUACGGGAGGCAGCAGUGGGGAAUAUUGGACAAUGGACCAAAAGUCUGAUCCAGCAAUUCUGUGUGCACGAUGAAGGUCUUCGGAUCGUAAAGUGCUUUCAGGUGGGAAGAAAAAAAUGACGGUACCACCAGAAGAAGCGACGGCUAAAUACGUGCCAGCAGCCGCGGUAAUACGUAUGUCGCAAGCGUUAUCCGGAAUUAUUGGGCGUAAAGCGCGUCUA